rnacentral:rRNA from 1 species
AUUGAACGCUGGCGGCAUGCUUUACGCAUGCAAGUCGAACGGUAACAGGCCGCAAGGUGCUGACGAGUGGCGAACGGGUGAGUAAUGCAUCGGAACGUGCCCAGUCGUGGGGGAUAACUAUCCGAAAGGAUAGCUAAUACCGCAUACGAUCUACGGAUGAAAGCAGGGGAUCGCAAGACCUUGCGCUACUAGAGCGGCCGAUGGCAGAUUAGGUAGUUGGUGGGAUAAAAGCUUACCAAGCCGACGAUCUGUAGCUGGUCUGAGAGGACGAUCAGCCACACUGGGACUGAGACACGGCCCAGACUCCUACGGGAGGCAGCAGUGGGGAAUUUUGGACAAUGGGCGAAAGCCUGAUCCAGCAAUGCCGCGUGCAGGAUGAAGGCCUUCGGGUUGUAAACUGCUUUUGUACGGAACGAAAAGCCCCGGGUUAAUACCCUGGGGUCAUGACGGUACCGUAAGAAUAAGCACCGGCUAACUACGUGCCAGCAGCCGCCGUAA